AUCUCCUGGCUCAGGAUGAACGCUGGCGGCGUGCUUAAUACAUGCAAGUCGAACGAAGCACCUCUCCCGAAGAUAGACCCAGCUUGCUGGGGAUUGAUUCAUUUGAGGUGACUGAGUGGCGGACGGGUGAGUAACGCGUGGGUAACCUGCCUUAUACAGGGGGAUAACAGUUGGAAACGACUGCUAAUACCGCAUAAGCGCACAGUACCGCAUGGUACGGUGUGAAAAACUCCGGUGGUAUAAGAUGGACCCGCGUCUGAUUAGCUAGUUGGUGAGGUAACGGCUUACCAAGGCAACGAUCAGUAGCCGACUUGAGAGAGUGAUCGGCCACAUUGGGACUGAGACACGGCCCAAACUCCUACGGGAGGCAGCAGUAGGGAAUAUUGCACAAUGGGGGAAACCCUGAUGCAGCGACGCCGCGUGAAGGAUGAAGUAUUUCGGUAUGUAAACUUCUAUCAGCAAGGAAGAAAAUGACGGUACUUGACUAAGAAGCCCCGGCUAAAUACGUGCCAGCAGCCGCGGUAAUACGUAUGGGGCAAGCGUUAUCCGGAUUUACUGGGUGUAAAGGGAGUGUAGGCGGCAGUACAAGUCAGGAGUGAAAACUUGGGGCUCAACCCCAAGACUGCUUUUGAAACUGUACAGCUAGAGUGUAGGAAGGGCAAGCGGAAUUCCUGGUGUAGCGGUGAAAUGCGUAGAUAUCAGGAAGAACACCGGUGGCGAAGGCGGCUUGCUGGACUAUAACUGACGCUGAGACUCGAAAGCGUGGGGAGCGAACAGGAUUAGAUACCCUGGUAGUCCACGCUGUAAACGAUGAAUACUAGGUGUUGGGUCUCGAUAGAGAUUCGGUGCCGAAGCAAACGCAUUAAGUAUUCCACCUGGGGAGUACGUUCGCAAGAAUGAAACUCAAAGGAAUUGACG
rnacentral:rRNA from 1 species